rnacentral:rRNA from 1 species
CGUCAAGUCAGCACGGCCCUUAUGUCCAGGGCUACACACGUGCUACAAUGGCCGGUACAAAGAGCUGCAAUAUCGCGAGAUGGAGCGAAUCUCAAAAAACCGGUCUCAGUUCGGAUCGGAGUCUGCAACUCGACUCCGUGAAGUUGGAAUCGCUAGUAAUCGUAGAUCAGCACGCUACGGUGAAUACGUUCCCGGGCCUU